AUGGACCACGCGUCCAAUGCGGUUCGGAGCGCGCCGUCCGCGCCCACCUGACAGCGGCUCGCUACGGUUUGUUAGCC
rfam:Xanthomonas oryzae pv. oryzae KACC10331, complete genome.